GCUCCCACCGAAGAAACCCAUCGAAACCCCCCUCCCCCAGAAAAAUUCCCCAAAUUUGUCCGGCCAAACUCAUGGACGGAGAUCGACGGACGCCGGCGGCCGCGGCCGCGGCCGCAUCGGCGGCAUCGGUCCUUGACGACGACAACCUCCUCCGCGAAAUACUCCUCUGCGUCGCCUUCCCCACCAGCCUCGUCAACGCCGCCCUCGUCUGCAAGCGGUGGCUCCUCCUCGCCUCCGCCCCGGCCUUCCUCCGCCGCUUCCGCGAGCGCAACCCGCCCCGCCUCCUCGGCGUCUGCGUCGGCUACCCGGGCAGGUAUCGCUUUGUGCCCCUCCCGCGGCAGCCCCCGGAGCUCGCCGCGCCCAUACGCCGCGCGACCUCCUCCUGCGACGCCGCCUUCGCCCGCAGAUGCCCGCGAAUCAAGCACUGCCGGAGCGGCCGCCUCAUCAUCGAGGUAUUCCACGCCGGCAGAUUUGAUCACCCCCUCGUGGUGCCGGUUCUCGCCGGGGAGUCUUCAACCGUCCUCCCACUAACCCUGCUGUCCCACGCCCACCGUAACUACUGGGAGAGGCGCACUCAAUUCACUGAGCUGUUCCUACCCGAGGAUGGGGGCCGCGACGGCAUCACCUUGGUGAAUCUGUGGAAGGACCGGCAAAAAGUGUAUGCGGAGGUGUGCAUCCUGAGAUCUGGCCGAUGGUGCGUCCCUGACAUGGAAUCAGAGAUAGAGCCCCCAAAUGGCACAGUCUUCCUUGAAAUGCUACCACCCGUCCAUGGCAAAGUCUUCAUGGUGACCAACUCUGGGUACACCGUGGGUCUAGAUUUGGCCACCAGGAGUCUUUUCACCCUUGAGCUACCAGCUGGAGUGCGGAGGAACUAUAUGCUCUCAUGCGCCGAGGAUGCAGGGAUCUAUCUUGUCAGUGCAGACGGGUUUCAGCUCAGUGUGUGGCUCCAUCGGAUGUCGGGCGAUGAUAAUGAUGCAGGCUGGCUGCUGCUGGACACAUUUUGUGUCCAUGAGGGUCAUGCAUGCACACCUCGUGCAGAGGACAGUUGGGUUCCUCCUCAUGAUGUUUGUCUUGAUGUUGUUGCAGUCGGGGACAAUGCCGACUUUGUCUUCUUGGAUCAUCCAGCAAGUGGCACUCUGUUUUAUGUUCAUCUGAGGAGCAGGGUGGUUGAGAAGGUCUACCGGAGGGGGGCAGAUGAAUGUGGAUAUAAACGUGCGGCUGCUGGCCACGUACGUGUAUCCCCUGUUAUGAUGAUCUGGCCGCCUAUCUUCCCAGCGCAGAACGUGGGACAUGAGGAAUGACCCCCCUGUGUUUGAUCGUUGUACUAUCUAAACUGAGUAUGGCUUCUGUAAUAGAGAGUCGUGCAAGAUUCAUCUUAAUAACAUCUGUCAUUUCAUUAAAUGAACUUGAAGUUUCACAGAAGCGUAUUGUGAGAUAUCAACCAGAACUGCACUGAAUCUUCUAAGCUUGACUGCAGUGUUUAUAAGAUAUUUUCCAAUAUGAAGACUUGUUGAUAAUGAAGAUUUUAUCAUGGCGAUCAGUAGUGUAAAAAUUCCUUGGGAAGACAGGUAAGUAAAAAUGAGGAGCAGCAAUUGGAACAGAAUGACUGAAAGUACAACUUGUGGUAGGGAAGCUUCAUUUGUGUUCUGGACAGGUAUGGCUCAAAUGAUACAACAAGGUGAGCAUGUUGAAAGUUAGUUGUGAUAUCCAUCUUCCACAUUAGAAGUUAUUUAUUUUUUCCAAAAUAUUUUUGUCCAGUCCGUCCAUCAUCACUAGUUCACUACUUGUAGUUGUAGGGGAGAUUUUUAGGUGUGUUUUCUACUUAAUUUUGUGGUAUCCAUUAGAUAAAGGGGUUUUAGAUGUGAUGCAUCAUGUCCACUGGUAUUCCUUCUCACGCACAAAUGGCAAAAGAGGCAAUUAGAGUGUAUCUAAACCUAGCUUAAUCAGGAACCUGUUAAAUCAUCAGCUGAAGAAUUGAUUCAGUUGGUACCACAAAAUUUAAGCCUAUCUCGAAUCUUGAUUCUUCACGCCAUUUUUCUAUGUAUGAUACUAACAACAAAAGUUCAGCCUGUCCCGAAUCUUGAUUCUUCUUCAUCUUUACUUAUUCGAGACACUAUUUAAAAAUAAAUAUCAAGGAUCAGCCACCCUCGUGGUCAUAGCUAACUGUAUGAUUUUGGCCUCUCCGAAUUCUCAAAAGCAAAGAUUAGAAAAGGUGGUUGAAUAGAACCUUUAGACAGAGAACAUAUAUUCUUCCCGAUUAGCCACAUCUCAUAGAGAUUCCCUUGCACCUCAAUCAAGCCUGCAACACUGCGCCGACCACUCCCUCUUCACCCGCCGCAGUCAUCUAUAAAUAAGCACCGUUGGAUCAUCACCAUCAUCCAACUCCAAGAAACCACAGCCUACAUCAAGCUCAAGUUAAGUGAGCUGACCAGAAUAUAUCGAUCACAAAACC